rnacentral:rRNA from 1 species
UACGUAGGGUGCAAGCGUUGUCCGGAAUUAUUGGGCGUAAAGAGCUUGUAGGCGGUUUGUCGCGUCUGCUGUGAAAUUUCGGGGCUCAACCCCGAACUUGCAGUGGGUACGGCAGACUAGAGUGUGGUAGGGGAGACUGGAAUUCCUGGUGUAGCGGUGAAAUGCGCAGAUAUCAGGAGGAACACCGGUGGCGAAGGCGGAUCUCCUGGGCCUGUCCUGACGCUGAGGCGCGAAAGCUAGGGGAGCGAACAGG